UUAUGGCACCACGUAAAAGAGUUUGGCAGCAUCCUCUUGGCACCCAUAUUUUUGUAUUUUUAGGACAUUAAAAUGUCCCUCCCUUUUAAGCACGGAAUGCAGAGGACACGAAACUCGAGCAACAUUCUGUGUCAUCUGCAGUCUCUGAGCUAAGUCAGACACAUGGGGAACUUUGGAGGAAUAGCAUUACUUGUUCAGCCCUCCAGGCUCGCUGGCAGAGUGGGGUUCUCGGGUGAAAUGUAUGUUUUAGAAACAAAGUAUUAAGUAAUAUAAACCUAAAAAACGUCCCUUAGUAUUACCCGUAUUGCAGACGAGGCCUGCUGACUGUUGGUAACUUAUCCCAUAUCAUUUGCUGUCUGUUACACGUGCUUUAGGAUCUCAAGGCUGAUUAUUUGUCUGCUGGGAAACAGAAAAGCAGCAAACUCCCUUUUCUUAGGAAACUUUAAAACAAAGGUUUAGAAGACAAGAUUCUGCUUGCUGUUGAGGUAAAAAAACCCUUAGAGCCAAGAUCUUGAAGUGCAGUGUAACGUCACUGUAGUUUUGUUUUUAGAAGAAACUGAAAACCCUGGUCAUUUUGGAAGAUUUAAAAUAAUCAUGGGUGGUUUUUAAAAUGAAUAUGCUGAAAACUGUGUAAGUAAAAUCACUUUUGCAGGCCAAUGAACUGCUCAAUAUUAACAACUGUUGCUUUUAAAUUAAUAAUAUUAUACUGUUUUCAUAAUAAGUUUAUGUGGAUUGAGGAAAAAUGUAAUGCUUGCAAUGAUCUGGGUUGUAAUUGAUACAAAAAUAUGUCCCGAUUUGAUCAACAAAAUAUAUUAAGAUAUCUGAAAUUAAAAUUGGUUUCUAGUCUUUGAAUGGCCACUUUAAUCCAAAACAGCAUUCAGGGUUUUUUCCUUUUUCCUGUACAGACUCUUUUUAUUA